GACGAACGCUGGCGGCGUGCCUAACACAUGCAAGUCGAACGAAGCACUUCUUUAGAAGCAUUCGUGUGGAAGAAGAAAUGACUGAGUGGCGGACGGGUGAGUAACGCGUGAGUAACCUGCCCCAGAGAGCGGGAUAGCGUUUGGAAACGAACGGUAAUACCGCAUAAAGUAUUAGAUUCGCAUGGCUUUAAUACCAAAGAUUUAUCGCUCUGGGAUGGACUCGCGUUGGAUUAGAUAGUUGGUGGGGUAACGGCCUACCAAGUCAACGAUCCAUAGCCGGACUGAGAGGUUGAACGGCCACAUUGGGACUGAGACACGGCCCAGACUCCUACGGGAGGCAGCAGUGGGGGAUAUUGCACAAUGGGAGAAACCCUGAUGUAGCGACGCCGCGUGGGUGAAGACGGCCUUCGGGUUGUAAAGCCCUGUUGUGGGGGACGAAUAAUGACGGUACCCCACCAGAAAGCCACGGCUAACUACGUGCCAGCAGCCGCCGUAAGAC
rnacentral:rRNA from 1 species